CAGUGAAAUCUGGGAUCAAGAAUAAUCUCAUCUGGGGUGGCCAGCCACUCUGGACUCACGGUUUCCAGGGUCUUCUGAGUAUAUACAACCAUCCUCCAGACUGCAAAAAACACGAUAUUUACUCUGACAAAGCCACAAGAGCCCCAGGUUUAUGUCCAUGAAAGAUCAGACAGAAUCCAGAGCAGCGACUCAUCAGUGGUGACUGACAACCUGAUGUGCAACUAAUGUGAAGAAGCUCAGCCCUGGAAAAGCAAAAACCCAUUGGAUCCAGAGGUGCCUGAGUUGGAGAUGAACUUUGGAACUUCCCUCAUAACCGUACUAAAAUCCCUGACCAGAGAGUAACUUAUUUGCCAUUUUCUAUACAUGUGACAUAUGUAGAAGCAUGAUCAAUGACAGCACAUGUGCUAUUAAUAUCUUGCUCCAUCUCGACAUACAGUGACUCAGCUCACCAGGCCAACAAAAGGCCUGUUUUCACCUUUGAUUGGAGGAGGCACUCCUUUGAGAACUAUCCCCCAUGUCCUCCUCAUUUGUUGCCACUAAUAAAAUCCCUUUAAGUCCCCAUUGCUUAAGUCCCCAUUGGUUGUGGUCACUGGACUGCCACCUGCCAUGUGAUGGCACUGACCCGUUGUAUGGGUAACAAAACUUAUACAGUGUAUCACUGUCCUGGAUACUGCAGGCAAUUGGAAUGCAAUGCUAAGCAUUUGCAUAACUAAACAUAGAAAAGGUACAGUAGGACUAGGUGUGAUGGCUCACACCUGUAGUCCCAGCACUUUGGGAGGCUGAGGCAGGCAGAUCAGUUGAGCCCAGGAAUUUGAGAUCAGCCUGAACAACAUGGAGAAAUGCAGUCUCUACAAAAAAUACAAAAAUUAGCUGGGAGUAAUGGCCUGUGCCUGUAAUCCCAGUUACUGAGGAGGCUAAAGUGGGAGGAUCCCUUGAGCCCAGGAGUCUGAGGCUGCAGUGAGUCAUGAUCUUGCCUCUGUGCUCCAGCCUGGGCAAUAGAGUGAGACCCUGUCUCAAAAAAAAAAAAAAAAGAUACAGUAAAACUAUGGUAUUAUAGGCCAGGUGUAGUGGCUCACGCCUGUAAUCUCAGCACUUUGGGAAACCAAGACAGGUGGAUUGCUUGAGGCCAGGAGUUCAAAACCAGCCUGACCAACAUGACGAAACCCCAUCUCUACUAAAAAUACAAAAAAUUAGCCAGGUGUGGUGGUGGGCACCUGUAAUCCCAGCUACUAGGGAGGCUGAGGCAGGAGAAUCGUUUGAACCCGGGAGGUGAGGGUUGCAGUGAGCCGGGAUCACGCCACUGUACUCCAGCCUGGGCAACAAGACU
rnacentral:lncRNA from 1 species